rfam:Flavobacterium sp. Leaf359 contig_5, whole genome shotgun sequence.
UUCUUAUCCAGAAAGACCGAGGGAAUUGACCCUAUGACGUCUUGGCAACCUGUCCUUUUGAGGAUAAGGUGCCACAUUCAACCCUUGCUUUGGCAGGGAAAGAUAAGCU